rnacentral:rRNA from 1 species
UACGUAGGGGGCUAGCGUUGUCCGGAAUCAUUGGGCGUAAAGAGCGUGUAGGCGGUCCGGUAAGUCGGUUGUGAAAGUCGGGGGCUCAACCCUCGGAUGCCGAUCGAUACUGUCGGGCUAGAGUCCGGAAGAGGCGAGUGGAAUUCCUGGUGUAGCGGUGAAAUGCGCAGAUAUCAGGAGGAACACCAAUGGCGAAGGCAGCUCGCUGGGACGGUACUGACGCUGAGGUGCGAAAGCGUGGGGAGCAAACAGG